CUCCUACGGGAGGCAGCAGUGGGGAAUUUUGGACAAUGGGCGCAAGCCUGAUCCAGCAAUGCCGCGUGAGUGAAGAAGGCCUUCGGGUUGUAAAGCUCUUUUGUCAGGGAAGAAACGGUAGGAGCUAAUAUCUCUUGCUAA
rnacentral:rRNA from 1 species